UUCCCCGCAGCCCAUUUUGCCACGCACCCGCUAGUUUCUUCUUCAAGCUUGCUUCGUCUGCGAUUCAACUCUCAUACCCUUAUGCUUCUUUAGCGCCGUAUCGAAGUUCGUUUAACAAGCCGAUUGGAGGGGCCUGCCAUGAUUCUACCUGAUUGAUGUUUGAUUCUCCUUUUUGUCCCAUUCAUUUUAAAUGUUUACUCUCCAUUAUGCAAAACCCUAUUUCUCUGUAUCCACACAUGAUUUGAGCAAUUUAGGGCAUGAAGUUUAAAUCUGUGACUCUCUUUUUGUGGAAUUUUCGGGCACUGUCAAGGAUUUGUGAUGAUUAACCCCACAUUGCGAAAGCCUGAUCCUCUAGGGUUUUUGGAGUUCAGAGGCAAUAUUCGAUUGGCGCGAAAAGGGAAUCUAAUACAAACGGCCGUUUAGAUGCCAGUCAAAGCGCACAUACCUCAUCCAAGGUAGUGGUUGACUUAGGAAAAACUCAGCUCAUCCAAGCAGCCGUGCUGUUACAUCCUUCAUUGGCUACUGAAGAUGAUAUCAUCUGUGAGAAGCAAUAGCUUCCCGCUGUUAAUUCUGCUUUAUUGGUUUGCGUUAUCUGUUUUCUUUUAACCUAAUGACAAAUCCAGAUGACACCACCUUAAAAAACUACUCGGAAAGUGCCCAACUUGCUUACUUCGUUUUCUUUUUAUUGCCAUCGAAGAGCUAUCUUUAUGAACCUGAAAACAUGUCAUCUCUCCUUACUGAAAUAGUGUUUUGUAAUAUCAAAUGAUUCUAUCGCCUAAGGUAGCUAGAAAAUGUCUACCUGAAAGUUCCAUGUACCGCAAUCCUCAGGAUUUAUUGGUCUCUUUUUGUGGAGGCCUGGAGGGAAGGAAAGAAGAAUGUUAGGGGCUCAGUGCUGUUCAAACCCACCAAAACUUUAACCCAAGCAGUGGUGCAGGGAUUGUCAGAGAAACAAUUUGAAGAGGUUUUAGCAGCCAAAAAUUAGGUUGGAAGUGCAGGCACAUGAGGGAUGACUUGUCCAUUGUUGUUUGUCUGUGUGGUGACUGUUUCAUGGCCUCUAAACACCACUCAAAUAUGCUGUGAGAGGGGACCCUACACCAAACCCCACUAAACAACAAACAAAUAUGUGAUAUCUAUUUGGACAAUUCAGGAUUACAUUUGUAUUUAAUUAGUCAACAAGGGUUUGCUGGAUGAUGAGGGUCAAGUAAUUUGGACUUAUCACAUUAUUGUUGAGAUUUUUUUGGUUCAUGAAGGCUGGAAGGGUGGAAGCUGCUUCGAAGUUCAAAGGCAAGUGGUGGUGGAGUUGUCUUACAGCUCAAACAUAAGCUGUUCUAGACUUCUAGUGGGACUGACUGUCAAAUCGUCCAGCGGUGAGGAUAUCAGUUUCUGAUCAACGAUUAGGACAGAAUCUCUCUCUUUUAAAAGUUGUAAUAAGUUCCACUUUCUAUCCGAGAUUGAGAAUAUCAGAUUUUCCUGUACUUUCUAAGUUGUAUGUGGUUCGCAUAGUAUUGGAAGGGUGGGUGGCAUGAAUUUAUAUUUCUUGUGUGCAGAAGAUGCAUGGUGAGGGUUGUUUUUUUUUUUUCCUAUAUAAACUGUAUAUGGAAAAAUAGGAAAAUAAUACAAAUUGGGGUUUAGUUGGAGUGA